UUGAUUACAUGCUAGAUCAAUAGUUACAUUCAUCGAUGAGCAAUCAUACAUCUACACUCUGCCUCUGGCCUUCAUUUCUCUUCUAGCUUUGGUUGAGAAGCCUUCUGUGAAGAUGUUGCAUUUGGUAUUGCUCCUGGGGAUUGUGGCUUUUAGCCAUGGUCAAGAAUGCCUGACUGAUCCCAACCCAAUAACCGCUUGCACUGCUGAGGAGGUGAUGGGAUACUUACAAACAGCUGAUUUUAGUAAGUUUAAUACAAUACUUCCCUUUU